rnacentral:tRNA from 1 species
CGGGGAGUAGCGCAGUUUGGCUAGCGCGCUUGCUUCGGGAGCAAGAGGCCGCGGGUUCAAAUCCCGCCUUCCCGACCA